rnacentral:rRNA from 1 species
GACGAACGCUGGCGGCGUGCCUAAUACAUGCAAGUCGAGCGAAGUUUUUCUGGUGCUUGCACUAGAAAAACUUAGCGGCGAACGGGUGAGUAACACGUAAAGAACCUGCCUCAUAGACUGGGACAACUAUUGGAAACGAUAGCUAAUACCGGAUAACAGCAUUAACUGCAUGGUUGAUGUUUAAAAGUUGGUUUUGCUAACACUAUGAGAUGGCUUUGCGGUGCAUUAGCUAGUUGGUGGGGUAAAGGCCUACCAAGGCGACGAUGCAUAGCCGACCUGAGAGGGUGAUCGGCCACACUGGGACUGAGACACGGCCCAGACUCCUACGGGAGGCAGCAGUAGGGAAUCUUCCGCAAUGGGCGAAAGCCUGACGGAGCAACGCCGCGUGAGUGAAGAAGGAUUUCGGUUCGUAAAGCUCUGUUGUUAGGGAAGAAUGAUUGUGUAGUAACUAUACACAGUAGAGACGGUACCUAACCAGAAAGCCACGGCUAACUACGUGCCAGCAGCCGCGGUAAUACGUAGGUGGCAAGCGUUGUCCGGAAUUAUUGGGCGUAAAGCGCGCGCAGGUGGUUUAAUAAGUCUGAUGUGAAAGCCCACGGCUCAACCGUGGAGGGUCAUUGGAAACUGUUAAACUUGAGUGCAGGAGAGAAAAGUGGAAUUCCUAGUGUAGCGGUGAAAUGCGUAGAGAUUAAGAGGAACACCAGUGGCGAAGGGGCUUUUUGGCCUGUAACUGACACUGAGGCGCGAAAAGCGUGGGGAGCAAACAGG